rnacentral:rRNA from 1 species
AGAUGUUCUGGGCCGCACGCGCGCUACACUGAUGCGAUCAACGAGCCUAGCCUUGGCCGAGAGGUCCGGGUAAUCUUGCAAACCGCAUCGUGAUGGGGAUAGAUUAUUGCAAUUAUUAAUCUUCAACGAGGAAUGCCUAGUAAGCGCGAGUCAUCAGCUCGCGUUGAUUACGUCCCUGCCCUUUGUAUACACCGCCCGUCGCUCCUACCGAUUGGGUGUGCUGGUGAAGCGUUCGGAUUGGUGGCUCCAAGCGGUUCGCCGCCGGGGGCAACCGAGAAGUUCGUUAAACCCUCCCACCUAGAGGAAGGAGAAGUCGUAACAAGGUUUCCGUAGGUGAACCUGCGGAAGGAUC